UACGAAGGGGGCUAGCGUUGUUCGGAAUACUGGGCGUAAAGCGCGCGCAGGCGGUCCUUCAAGUCAGAGGUGAAAGCCCAGAGCUCAACUCUGGAAUGGCCUUUGAGACUAGAGGACUUGGGUACGGGAGAGGUGAGUGGAAUUCCGAGUGUAGAGGUGAAAUUCGUAGAUAUUCGGUGAAGAACACCAGUGGCGAAGGCGGCUCACUGGCCCGUUACCGACGC
rnacentral:rRNA from 1 species